GUGGGGAAUAUUCCGCAAUGGACGAAAGUCUGACGGAGCAACGCCGCGUGAGUGAUGAAGGUUUUCGGACUGUAAAGCUCUGUUGUUUAGGACGAAAGUGCCUGUUGCAAAUAGUUACAGGUAUUGACGGUACUGAACGAGGAAGCCACGGCUAACUACGUGCCAGCAGCCGCGGUAAUACGUAGGUGGCAAGUGUUGUCCGGAAUUAUUGGGCGUAAAGAGCAUGUAGGCGGGAAUCUAAGUCUGUUGGGAAAAUGCGGGGCUCAACCCCGUAGUGCGAUGGAAACUUGGUUUCUUGAGUGCAGGAGAGGAAAGGGGAAUUCACAGUGUAGCGGUGAAAUGCGUAGAUAUUGGGAGGAACAUCAGUGGCGAAGGCGCCUUUCUGGACUGUGUCUGACGCUGAGAUGCGAAAGCCAGGGUAGCGAACGGGAUUAGAUACCCUAGUAGUCC
rnacentral:rRNA from 1 species